rnacentral:rRNA from 1 species
UACGGGGGGGGCAAGCGUUGUUCGGAAUUACUGGGCGUAAAGGGCUCGUAGGCGGCCAACUAAGUCAGACGUGAAAUCCCUCGGCUUAACCGGGGAACUGCGUCUGAUACUGGAUGGCUUGAGUUUGGGAGAGGGACGCGGAAUUCCAGGUGUAGCGGUGAAAUGCGUAGAUAUCUGGAGGAACACCGGUGGCGAAGGCGGUUCUCUGGGCCUUACCUGACGCUGAGGAGCGAAAGCGUGGGGAGCGAACAGG